CAUAUAUGUCUGUAACUAUUGAUUUCGUUUAGUUAUGGAAUUUUCUUUGAUCGCAUGGGUCGUUUUAUUGAAGUCAUUCAUAUUAGGUAAGAUCUAAUUAAUUAAUUUUUGCAAGCAGACUUUUUUUUACAAAAAAAAAUGAAUUACAUCUUUGGUCUCUGUUGUUGUUUUUAAAUGAUUUGAGAUUCUUUAUACUUUGAACAGCAAAGAAAAAAGACGAAAACAGAAACUUGCUUUUAAGAUUUACUUGUAUAUUCCUAAAUGAUUAUAGUUGUUUUUUUGUUGUUUUUUUUUUACUUCUCAAUUAUCUAUCAAUGUAACUCAUUCAUUCGUAUUUGAUGUACAUAUAUGAGUUUUAAUAAAAAUGACUCAUCCUACAAAUGAUGCUUCCUGAUGGGUCAGUGGAUUGAGAAAGGGGAAUCGAGUUUAGCAUGAACAUUUUUAAAAUAUGUCCUCGAUCACCCUUUGUUCCGCACGAAGAACGUUUUUCAGACAACGUUUUAUUUUGUGUCCCUACACGAGUCUUUGGAUUUAACAUCCCCCAUUCAAAUUAUGUACUAGUAUGUUAGCGAUUUUACAUGCUUCGGAGCAAAUGCGACAUUUUAGCAUGAGGUUUUCUCUUUUGUCUUAUUUUCAACAGACCCUAACCGUCAAUUUUAUAUAUAUAAUUCAUAACAUGAAGUAAACCUCCUCUUAUAAACCUUUUAAUUUCUUGUUUACCAUCAAUGACUAUUAAAUAUUUAUGCUAACAUUUAAGUUGUAGGUAUAAACUAUACACCAGAUGGUUGUGAGGAAGGUUGGUUGUACUAUAACCAGAUGUGUUAUUUAUACAGCCCUCACCCAGUCGACGCCAUUGUCGCCAAGGAUAUAUGUAGUACAUACAAGGAUUCUGUCUUAGCCAGUGUAUGGAACGAGGAAGAAAUGAGUUUUAUAACAACCACAC
rnacentral:lncRNA from 1 species